UACGUAGGGUGCAAGCGUUAAUCGGAAUUACUGGGCGUAAAGCGUGCGCAGGCGGUUGUGCAAGACAGAUGUGAAAUCCCCGGGCUUAACCUGGGAACUGCAUUUGUGACUGCACGGCUAGAGUGUGUCGAGGGAGGGGUAGAAUUCCACGUGUAGCAGUGAAAUGCGUUGAGAUCGGAAGGAACGCCCGUGGCGAAAGCGAGAUCCUGGACGUUUUUCUGACGCUGAGACGCGAAAGCUAGGGGAGCAAACGGG
rnacentral:rRNA from 1 species